rnacentral:rRNA from 1 species
GACGAACGCUGGCGGCGUGCUUAACACAUGCAAGUCGAACGGAAAGGCCCCAGCUUGCUGGGGUACUCGAGUGGCGAACGGGUGAGUAACACGCGGGUGAUCUGCCCUGCACUCUGGGAUAAGCCUGGGAAACUGGGUCUAAUACCGGAUAGGACCGUGCUUUAGUGUGUGCGGUGGAAAGUUUUUCGGUGCAGGAUGAGCCCGCGGCCUAUCAGCUUGUUGGUGGGGUAAUGGCCUACCAAGGCGGCGACGGGUAGCCGGCCUGAGAGGGUGUACGGCCACAUUGGGACUGAGACACGGCCCAGACUCCUACGGGAGGCAGCAGUGGGGAAUAUUGCACAAUGGGCGCAAGCCUGAUGCAGCGACGCCGCGUGGGGGAUGACGGCCUUCGGGUUGUAAACCCCUUUCGGCAGGGACGAAGCUUUUGUGACGGUACCUGCAUAAGAAGCACCGGCUAACUACGUG